AGCUCAGGUCCUCCUCAUUGUGUCUCCGCUAGGAUCUUGAGCUUCUUCUUUCCAGAACUCCUCAAAAUCUGCAGAGAUUGCCUGUCACACGGAGCAGGUGUAAAGAAAUAGCAGGGAUCAAACCUGAAGGUGAGGUGGACACACUCUGUGCAAGCUCGUGGAUGUGAAGGGAGAGCCUUGAAGCUGGAAUGAGACAUGAAGGCGUCCAGACAUGUCCUAUGGAGGGGAACACUACUGCAUUGAAAGAAGAGGAAUCUGCAUACAACUAAAUGUCUAUGAACUUCUGGAGGAGAUAUUUAUACUGAGAUGACUAAUAAACCAUUCAGAUGAGGAUGCUCACAACCAACUGUAGCCUCUCCCAGCCUGAAGCAGGCUGGUGCAGACCUUAUCACCACUGAGGUGAGGCCACCUGAGGUGCAGCUUUCUGACUUGGCUGGCUUCUUUUGAAGUGUCAACUGCCCUGCUCUUCUCCGAGAACCUGCUUGCUGCCUGCUGAGACACCUUUGAGACAAUCCAUGUUGCACAGCAUCUUCAGGCUGGCGAUAGGCACCAAAGAUGGACUGUCGGGGGCAGGGAGGGGGAUGGGCCUUCCCCCUUUUAAGCACAGUCUCUUAGUAAA